GAUGAACGCUGGCGGCGUGCCUAACACAUGCAAGUCGAGCGGCAGCGAGGGGUGCUUGCACCCUGUCGGCGAGCGGCGGACGGCUGAGUAGCGCGUGGGAACGUGCCCCAAAGUGAGGAAUAACUGCCCGAAAGGGUAGCUAAUACCGCAUAUUAUCUUCGGAUCAAAGGAUUUAUCCGCUUUGGGAGCGGCUCGCGUCGGAUUAGGUAGUUGGUGAGGUAACGGCUCACCAAGCCGACGAUCCGUAGCUGGUCUGAGAGGAUGACCAGCCAGACUGGAACUGAGACACGGUCCAGACUCCUACGGGAGGCAGCAGUGAGGAAUCUUCCACAAUGGGCGAAAGCCUGAUGGAGCAACGCCGCGUGCAGGACGAAGGCCUUCGGGUUGUAAACUGCUUUUAUAAGUGAGGAAUAUGACGGUAACUUAUGAAUAAGGUUCGGCUAACUACGUG
rnacentral:rRNA from 1 species